CGGCAAAAGCUCAAAUUUGAAAUCUGGCGCAAGCCCGAGUUGUAAUUUGUAGAGGAUGCUUCUGGGCAGCGGCCGGUCUAAGUUUCUUGGAACAGAACGUCACAGAGGGUGAGAAUCCCGUAUGUGACUGGCUUGCACCCUCCACGUAGCUCCUUCGAC
rnacentral:rRNA from 1 species